UACGUAGGGGGCAAGCGUUGUCCGGAAUCAUUGGGCGUAAAGAGCGUGUAGGCGGCCUUUUAAGUCUGCUGUGAAAGUCCAGGGCUCAACCCUGGGAUGUCAGUGGAUACUGGAAGGCUCGAGUCCGGAAGAGGCAAGUGGAAUUCCCGGUGUAGCGGUGAAAUGCGCAGAUAUCGGGAGGAACACCAAUGGCGAAGGCAGCUCGCUGGGACGGUACUGACGCUGAGGCGCGAAAGCGUGGGGAGCAAACAGGG
rnacentral:rRNA from 1 species